CCGUGAAGCUGGCCACCUUGGGAAAGUACGGUCGCAAAGGCUGAAACUUAAAGGAAUUGGCGGGGGAGUACCACAACCGGUGGAGCCUGCGGUUUAAUUGGAUACAACGCCGGGAAUCUUACCGGAGGGGACAGCAGUAUGAAGGCCAGGCUAAAGACCUUGCCAGAUCAGCUGAGAGGAGGUGCAUGGCCGUCGCCAGUUCGUACCGUGAGGCAUCCUGUUUAGUCAGGCAACGAUCGAGACCCGCAGUCUUAUUUGCCAGCAUGCCCUUUGGGGUGUAUGGGUACAAUAAGACGACCGCCAGCGCUAAGCUGGGGGAAGGAGCGGGCUACGGUAGGUCAGCAUGCCCCGAAUCCUCCGGGAUACACGCGGGCUACAAUGGUCAGGACAAAAGGUACCGACCUCGAAAGAGUGAGGUAAUCCACAAACCUGAUCUCAGUCCGGAUCGAAGGCUGCAACUCGCCUUCGUGAAGAUGGAACUCGGUAGUAAUCGUGACUC
rnacentral:rRNA from 1 species